GGUCAGGAAGCCCAGAUGUAGAAGAGCUUUAGAUCUGGGAUCCAAAGGCCCGGGUUCCAAUCCUGGCUUAACUC
rnacentral:tRNA from 1 species